UCUGAUGCUGCUAUAUUGGUCCGCAGACCUCAAGCGUUGCCUGUCACAGAGCAGACACUGCCAAUGAUUCAUGCGUCCACCGACGACCUAUCUGGAUAAAUACACUCCUUGGUUGGUGGCCAAACCUACUUGGUGUCUAGAAUACACAGUGCUGUGACUAAAUCAUGUUGAUAUACUCAAAACGAAAACCGGCAAAAAGAGACCGGUGUCUUGGCUGAAGCCAGGUGCAAGGGAGUACAAUGCCGAACCACGAUCAACCAGAUCGAAACACACGACAAAGGAGUCGAUGUGUUGCCUUGGACCCAAGGUCCAUAGAUAUACAGUAUAUAUGCAAGCUUACUCUACAUGACUAUCCACAACUAUCAUAAUGCAAUCAACUAGAUAUAGAUGAAUGAACGAUAAACAAACAACUGACAUGUAGAGACUACAAUACUGAAAUAGAAGAACAGAGGGAGGUGAAACGAUCUCAUCGACUACCAGCUCGAACCACCCACCUGUCACUAUUGCGUCGGAAAAACUGGGUGCGCAACAAGUCAACCGGACCUACGAAGAUCCACCGAGUCAGUAUCCAACCCACUCACCCAAAGUACACAACUCACAAACCCCCACACAAGUCCCCAAAAUCGGUUUUCCAAAAUCGAUCACCGUAACUCGCCGGAAGUCCCAAAAACCACACCGGGACGCCAUCGGGACCUACUAAGUGUCCCGAAACUCACCGACUCGUGACUCGAGUCACCCGCUGCCACAGAACACACCGAUUUGGAUGUCUUGGCAGCAAACACGAGAUUACACAACUCAACAAUUAUCGUCGGAUAAUUGUUUGGAUCCGGAUUCCUAGAGGUGUCUAUUUCGACACUGGAACCCACCGUCGCUCACCCGUCAUCUCCGAACCCACGAUAUGACGAUGGUGACCAGCUGACAAGGCUCAGCAACAACUCACAGGGCAACCAUACAACGUCGGAAGAAAUCCGAACUGAAACCGCGUUCUUUCGACGAAUUUCGCCGAAAAACGCAUCGAAAUCGACUUUCGAUUUCCGCGAAGGCUAACGGACCUUGGACAAUCAGUCCAGAGGUCACCACACACACAUACACACUGCCUACAGUAGCCACAAGGUGCAUAAUUACAUAGAAGUCCCUAUAUUACAUAAAACCUAUCAUUUUAUGUAAAUCGGGUGGUUUUGUGGCCCGUUCUCGCAAACCGAGGACUUCCAAGGUCCGCCAAGACACGUACUGAUAGGUCUCGACGUGCCGGAGGCCGUGCUCAUGAUCCGGAGCACAGAGGCUCACUGUGGGAGGCGCGGGAGCGAUCCUAAAUUUUCAUGAACAGCGUGCAGUCGGGGAAAAUCACGCCGAACAGGCCGAUACAACAUCUGUUGAUCCAAAGUAAGGUGAGCACUAUGAUCAGCACUGACCAACGAUCACCGUGCUCACCUCCGGAGGUAUCGGGACAGCCUCGGAUCGCCGAAAAGGAGUGCGCAAGCCAGAACAGUGACCAAAAAGGCCCUAAAGGAGCGACACCACCAAAACAUAGGAACGAAGCCUUCCCGACAGAAACUAAGGUGAGCACGAUGAUCAACGAUGAGUUACGAUCAUCGUACUCCCUUCCGCAGAGAUCGGGAAGUCUCGGAUUGCUCGGAACAGCAAGCCGCCAAAGAAAAAGCCCUAUUUCGGGCUUGGCCGGAGCGAGCUUGCUCCGGCCGGCUUCCGGUGGCACAGAGAUGUGCGCGCAGGCCAGAGGUGGUUAUGGGGGAUGGGAGGAACACCAUGUUCACCUUGGUCGGCGGCGAGGAGCGGUGGCGGCGUCGGCGGAGCUAGCCAAGGCCCCACGAGCUAGGGCUUGGGUUCCAGGGCAGCUGCGGCCACGGCAUCGGCCGGGGAGCUCAGGGACGACGGCGGAGGAUCGACAGAAGUCGGAGGGAGGCAGCAAGGAUGGCUCCGGGCCGCGGUGACGCGAGGAUGGAGAUGCAAGGUUUGCUCGGCCUGAUCAAACCUGGGCCGGCUGCAGCGAGCACGGGCGGCGGCGGCGGCCCGCAGGGACGGCGGCCACUGGCCGGGGUGUCGACUAGGCUCCGGGGAAGGCGGCAGAGGUGGUCCAAGGUGGCGGCGGCGCGGAGGCUAACUGCUGCAACUCGACUCGGCCCGAGCAAGUCUGGGGUGGCUGCGGGCUGGCCGAGGGGGCGACGGUGGCCCGUAGGGGUGGCGGCAACAAGCCGGGGUGGUCGCCGAGGCUCCGAGGAAGGCGACGGGAGCGGUCUCAGGCGGAUGCAGCGCGACGAUGAGGUCGCACGGUCUGCUCGGCCUGGGCUCGGCCAAGCUGGUUGCAGGAUGCAGCAGCGGCAGCGGCGGCGCGCGGAGGCGACGACGGUUGGCGGGGAGGGACGCCGGGGCUCCGGGAUGACGCCGGAGAGGAUCUAGAUGGAGUGCAACCUCGGACCUUGUCCUCAACCCGAGAAAAAAAGAGAGAUAGAGGUAGAGAGGGAGGAGAGGAAGGAGAAGGUGACUGCUCGCGGCGGCUGGCCGGCCGGGGCUCAGUCGGUGGCUGCCGGGGGUGUGCGGCUAUGAGGUGAGAGGGGGGUAGGGUGGCUAGGGUUAGAUGGGAGCUAGGUUUAGGGUUUCCUGGUUCCAAAACCCUAGUUGGCAACAUAUAUAGAAGGUGUAGAUUUGCGAGUUAGCCCACCAAACUUCAGUAUUUAAUACUGAGUCCCUCACAGCGUGUGUAAAACGCGCGAACAUACCUCCACAUCCGGUUUCACGCAAAACGGUACAUAAAAUAUCGCGCUUUUUGCAGAAAUACUAUUUUGCCAUCACCGACCCCUCCUCGAUCAACGUGCGUUAUCCGCAGAUCCGUCGGUCAGAUUUAUGAACGGAUCACACUAGUGUGAUCAACACAACAGAGACAACAAACCCACCUUUCGGUUUGCCUUGAUCGGUCACGGAUUCACGACGAAACCCGCUCUCUCUCCAAAAGGCAAAAUGACGCACAAAUACAUAUAAAACAUGUAUUUUCAGAUUUUCUCGAAAUCCGUGCAUCAAACCUAAAAUCCAUCAGCGCCAUGGGUUCCAGAAUAGCUGAAUUGUUCGAAACGAGCUAUUGGAUUGCUAUGAACGGAGUCUGAUACGUACCAGAAGCCAACUUUACACCGUGGCCUCACCGGAAAACCGAGUUACUAUUCACUUUAAGUGAAAACUGAAGAUUGCGUAAAAUCUCCAUUCUAACUCGUUUUCUUCCGAAACUUGACGAGUGCUUUUGUAAUUAAAUUACAUACAAAAACACCAUUAACAGAGAGUCUAACUAUACUGUCAAAUUCUCAGUCCUUACUAUAUCCUAAACUCAAAUCUUCCAUAACUACAGUGUUAUGUGCUGGGAUAAACUCAGAAAAAAAAUUUAUAUCAAACUGUUGCAUAAACAGCCUGAAAGUUCUAAAUAAUCUUUUACAUUGACCCAAUAUAAAUUCAUAAAUGCACGUCGCUCUGUUGAAGAAAAAAGAGAUAUCUUGGCAAGUGUAAAGAGUCGACAAAGAAACUCAGUAAAAAUCUCCAUCAAAAUAUCAGUUGGCAGGUGUAUAUCUUCCUCCUCAUCAACCUAAUAUUGAAAAUAACUAUAUGCUAAGGACAUCCUCUAAAUGAAAUAAAGAAAAUUAUUGAAUCGGAAGCCAUAGAAGAAAACCAAUUCGAUUUUAGAAAUGUAUGAGUAUAUUUUCAAAUUAUUCUUUCAAAUAAAAAAAAAUUAUUGCAUAAUAAUUAUAAUAUAACACUAGUGCAGUGAUCCACGCGAUGCGGCGGGUAGGUAUUAUUAUAGUUAAUUUUUAUCAUAUCUAUUAAUUAUUAUAGUUAAUUUUUGUCAUAUCUAUUAAUUCUUCUCCUUAGUGGGUAAUAUAUUUUUUCCAUCUUUCAAUAAAUUUUAUUUUGUUUUAGUUUACUUUUGUAAUUUUGAAUAUGUAACUUUGAUUUUACUAUUAUAAAUUUGUUACUUUUUCCUCUUCUACAAAUUAUGUUGUUUGAUUUUCUUUUUUGCUAUGAUUCUAAUUUUAAAGUUUAUUAUUAUCCUUUAUUUUCGCAUGAUCAUCAUGACUCAAAGAUAGAUUGUUGAAUAGAAUAUGAAGAAUAUCUAAUUGAAUUGCUUAGAAAAUGAGUGCCUUAACAUUUUGUAUAUUGGAAAAAUAUUACCGUUCCAAAUAAAGCUAACCAAAGGGAAAGAUAAAAGGAAAAAGACGUAUUAGUCUAAUUGGGCAAAAUAUGCGGAUAGUUCUUGUAGAAACCUAAUAAUGCACGACUUGGUCCGUGUACUUCUCAAACUUUUUGCAAGUUGGGUACUUUUAACAUCCUAAAACAAAAAAGAUGAUGAGAAUAGGGCUUAAAUGCAUAAGUUUUUUUAAAGAAACUUCAUAGAUGCAAGUUGGAGUACAUAAAGUGAUAUUCAUGUAGAAAUUUCUUUUGCGACACAUGAGAAACUUCAAUGUUUAACUAAAAAAAACAAAAAAGAAUGGUGAUUGGCUCACUUUAUAUAUGGAAUAAAGGUAAAAUUAUAGUUACUAAAAAAAGUAUAUGCUCAACUUAGGAUGUAGACAAACUAAGCCAAUUUGGCGAGAUGCUAAUGCUGCCUUGACAAAUCGUGAAUAAUCAACAUUUGAACUGUACGUAUAAAGCAUAUUAUAGUUUCUUCUAGUAAAAAAAAUCUUAUAAAUAAGAACCUUGGAAAAUAGAAAAAAAAAACACUAUACUUUUUGCAUUUGAGGAUACUACUUAAUCUGAGAAUACAAUUAACUUGGAAACUCUUAAAAAUCAACAUUAAUUUUUUGAGUUUUUUUUUCUUUGAGAGAUAACCUUUGUUGAGUUUAAUUCUACACUAGUGUAAUAACCCGCGCGAUGCGGCGGGCAGAUAUUAUUGUAGCAAAAUCUUUUCUUUGUAGCAUAACAUUUUGAAAAUCUUCCAAAUAUCAAAUAUAAUAAUAAGCUCACAUAAAAUUUGAAAGUAAAAAAGUAAUAGGAAGAGUAGCAUACCAUUUUUUUCAUUCCUCGCAAAACAAAAGUUACACCAUAAUAAUAAGAACAACAACCAUUUCAAGUAUAUAGUAUAUAAUUUUCUCUCUUUUUUCCCCCGGUGUGCAGUGGCAGAGGUGGUGGUGCGGCACUGCAUGCAGAGCUGGAGUGGUGGGUGAGGGCGCGGAGGCUAACUGCUGCAACUCGGCUCGUGUCUAAAAGGUAGUGUCUGAACUUUAUUGACAUUCUCAAGCUCGCCUAAAACACAACUCAUUUAUGACUGAUUAGUAAAUCAAGAAGACUUGAAUACAUUAUUAGUUUUAGCCAACACUUAGAUGAUGAUAUGAAAAACUUAAAGUCCUAACAUUUAAAUAUAGAUCCAAAGUAUUAUAUUAUAGGAUGAAAAGUAGGUUAGUACUAAUAAAGACCUUUAUCUGGGGAAUAAGUGCUGGUCCCCCAUAGGCAAAACCAGUAUAAAGCUAAACUAGGGUUGCACUUGAUCGGAUCUUCUUGUAUGCAUCUUCAUCACUGCAUUGUUUACAAAUUAAACAAACUUGAGAUGAUGAUUUUUCUUAUUCUUUUUCUUUUUAAAGUAUCCAAAAUAAAUUACCUACUCAUAGAGUAUAUACAUCACCUUGAGUGAGGAUAUACAUCUCCUUGAGUGAGGAUAUACCUCACCUUGAGUAUGAGUAGAUAGAUCAAAGAGUGGCUUCCCAUUUAAACCACCAGGUUCUGCAACUAAAGGGUGCUUCUCUACAGGUUUUGGCCGUGAAAUUGUUGUGUUUGAUAUAAUCUGAAUAUAGAAGACAAUUUCAAUUGUCAAGUUGUUCAAAAAAGUUAUCUACACAUCUCUCCAUAAACUGAAUUUCAUCUACUUCAAAAACUUACUUUCUUCUAGAUAUACCCUUCUGCAACCAAAAAUGAUUCUCAGUAAAGACCUUAAGUGAUACAAAAUUAACUUUAUGCAGUUGCCACCUAAAUUAGAUGACUCCCUCACUUUAGAUAAGGAUACCUUUGGACAAAAUUCACUUUCGGGGAGCACAUUUUAACAUUCAGAUUGUAAAAGGUAUAUAUGUAAAUGAUGAUUUUGCAUGGACAUAAAUGAAAAACACCCCAACUCGACAGAAUACUUACCAAGUCAUCCAAAUGGAAAGCAAAAGCAAUCUCAAGGUAUAAGAAAGAAAGUGUAAGACCAUGCUGCAUGUAAAAUGGCUGAAAAAGAAAAAGAAAAAAAAAGGAUAAUCAAGAGUAAAAAAUUCACUACAAAAACAUUAGUUGAUUCUAUAGAAAAGAUUAUUACUUCUUAAUAUGUAUAUCAGUAAUAUAUUUUUUUCUUCUAUCCUACUCGCUAUUACAUCCCUCCUCUUUUCCCUCCUCUUUAUUACAUCGCUCUAUGUGUUUGUUAUGAUUUCGGUUUAAUGCAUUCUUUUUUUUAACAAUAUAUCUCAUAAUUUCUCCCUUUAAUAUAGUUUUCUCAUUUUCUGUGAUUUUUGGGGUGUGACAAAAUCGAUCUCGGCAACAAAUCAAAAUAUAUUACCAUCAACUUCACAAAUUUAGUUAUGCCCUACUUAACACUCUUAAAAAAAAAGGUAUUGUGUAAAAAAUGUCUACACCUAAAGCUCCGUGGAUUUGCAUAUGUAGACUCUUGUGCAUCAGUCCCUGUCGUAUACCGUCCCAAUAAGUAGUAUUUCAGAAAAACCUUCUUACCUGCAUCAAGACACCCAAGGAUCACAAAUCAAAAACACACAAAGAAAGAAAUAUGUAUUGACAAAAUAAUCAAAUUCUAGCAUAUAAAAGAAAGAUGUCAAUAAAUGUCACGCCCCGGGGUCCCUUUAGGUUAAAAACACCGCGGAAUUUUUUUUUUUUUUUUUUUGAAAACCUAACCCCAGGGAAUGCCAGAUCCGCCACAAAUACAGGGAAUCCACUGUUCACACGGACAGAGUCUCUCCUGUAUUUGCACGGCGUCGCACAAGUACAAGAAGUAACCCAGGUACAACCAUAAUCAAAUGAAUAUAGAAACGACUAUGCAAUCAUUCAUUCACCAUUCACAUCACAGUUAUACAUUCAAUAUUUAAACAUAAAUCCACAGAAAAUUUUUUUGAAAAUUAUUUCCUAUAUGGAAACCUUUAUUCUUUAAAAACGCUACCACGAGGGGUAGAAAAUCUUUUAUUUACGAAAACCACGAAUCCUUUUUAUUACAUUCAUAAAGCCAAAUCAAAAUAUGAUAGUUAACUGAAAUACCCAAAAACUGAAUCAUAUAAACUAUCUAAGCUAUAUCAACAGGAUAGUAAGGGUAGAAACUAAACCGAAUAACCUGGGUCGAAAGCUCUAUCGACCGCUACGUACGUAUCUCACGUCUCGUCUCAACCCUCACCGCCCGCGAUACCUGAAAAAUAGUGGGGGAGGUGAGAACAUGUAAACAUGUCUCCUCUUCGAGUGGGUACCGCAAGCCGAUGAAGGCAAGGAGUACUCACCGGAUCAGGAAGAGCUAAACAACAGUACGGGUCAGUAGAAAAUACAGUAGCAAUAAUAAUGAAUGAAAGAGACAUGUAUAUGAAAGAAAGUACAACUACCGCUACUGUAAUGAACAACUGAAUGUAUACAUGUAACAAGACUAUAGUAGCAAGACAAUGUAACGAAAGAACUGAAGAUAUACAAGCGACAACUGCUACUAUAGUUAUAUGCGUCAACCAGACGAUAAGUCCAAAUAUACCCAAUCUGAUGCAGCUAUAUUGGUCUGCAGACCUCAAGCGUUGCCUGUCACAGAGCAGACACUGAGAGCUUAUUCAUGCGUCACCGACGACCUAUCCGGAUACGUACACCUCUUGUUGGUGGCCAAACCAACCUGGUGUCUAGAAUACACAGUGCUGUGACUAAAUCAUGCUGAUAUGCUCAAACGAAAUCCGGCUAAAGCCGGUGCCUAGGCCGAAGCCAGAAACAAGGGCGUACAACGCCAAACCACGAUCAACCAGAUCGAAACACAUGACAAGAGAGUCGAUGUGUUGCCUGGACCCAAGGUCCACAGAGUCCAACUGACCAACAAGGUCCCUGAUACGAAGUACGAG
rnacentral:lncRNA from 1 species